rnacentral:lncRNA from 1 species
CUGUUCUCUACAGUGACUAGGCUCAGAAUCUAGAGUUCCAGACAUCACAGUGUCAACAAAGCAUAGGUGGCAGUCAGCGUUCCUGGGAGCUAGGAAGCUCAGCUCAUCCCUUGCAGAGCUCAGACCCCACCUUGGCCAGACUGCGUGUGACAGUACAUGUUUCAUCUCUGACUCCCGGGCUGGCCAGACUCACUGUAGCCAGGUCUGUGAGAAGGCUGAACCUGACCGGCCACUAAGAAGCCUGGUCCCAUGGCAGCAACAACAGUGGAAGAAGGUGCAGCCGCUGUGCUGGGGUCUUCAUGGCCAACUAAGAUGCAGCCGGCUUGCAGCAACAGCGACAUUCGGAGGAAUAGUGUCACGCAGCAGGCCUGAACAGCACAAUGCAGGCACGGAGCUGUUCCUUCAGGCCCAGAUUUUCCAUCUCCUGAAAAAGCAAAUGCAAGGUCCAGGAAGUACCAAGCAAGCUCUCUACCGUUGAGUUACAACCCUGAAUCUGAAAUUUCAAGUUUUAACCAAACAUCACCUAAUUCAUUACACCUGAAAGACUACCUUUCUUUCUCUUUUUGUUGAAAAAGUAGGGCAGUUUGUCUUCCCUGAACGCUGAGACUUCAAGCAUCUAAGACUCCAAGAUGUCGUGUGGAAGCAGAAGUCACACUUCCUGGGUGACUACUCCAGCCAGCUCAGCCGGGCCCCUCAGAUGAGGGACGCUCCCAGAAGGGCACCUGCAGCUCAGCCUCCAGCAGCAGCUGCAGCUGCGCCAUCUCCAGUUGGCUCACCUGCCACUGUGCCCCAGCAGCCAGGCCUGAUGGCCCAGAUGGCCUCCACUGCAGCCGGUGUGGCUGUGGGCUCUGCACACCCUGGGUCAUGCCAUCACUGGGGGCUUCAGGGGAGGCUGUAAUGCUAAACCUGCAAAGCCCGACAUCACUUAUCAGGAGCCUCAGGGAGCCCAGCGGCAGGACUAGAAGUCUUUUGGACCUUACUCUCUAGAGAUCAAGCAGUUUCUGGAGUGUUCUCAGAACCAGAGCGAUGUCAGGCUCUGGGAGGGCUUCAUCGAGGUGCUUGCGACAGGGCAGAGUUGCAAAUGGUUUACUCUAACCAAGAAUUUCAAGCUGAAGAGAUGUAAAAUUGGUUCUGUGUAAUUGAUAGUACAAAUGUGGACCCUUAUUUCUAACAGCUCCCGUGCUUUGGAAUGGCCAUGAAAGAGAUCUAACUAUAGAUGUUUACUGAGGCUUGUGGUGUUUGGCCUCCUUGAAGUAACUGUAUUAUGACUGUGAGUUAAAAAUAAUAAUAAUAAUAAAAUAAAAAAAUCAACAACAACAACAAAAAAAAACCAGACUCAUGCCAUACCAGCCUAUAUGCCAGCACUUGGGAAGCAGAAGUGGAAGGAUCCUGCAUGUGAGACCAGCGCAGGCUACAAAGCAACACCCUGGCAGGGAGAUGGUUCCGGGAGUAAAGACACCAUGCCUGGUA